rnacentral:rRNA from 1 species
GUCGGUGAUCAUAAGAACGAGGAAACACCUGUUCCCAUCCCGAACACAGAAGUGAAGCUCGUUCUGCCGAUGAUACUGCUCAGCGGGAAAGUAGGUUAUCGCCGACU